rnacentral:antisense_RNA from 1 species
CUUCAACGAGCCCAGCCACAGGGGCCGGUCCUCCGGACGGUCCUGACCGUACGUCGCGAUGAGCGCCUGUGCCUC